AAACAAUCAAAUCUAAAUAAAAUCAGUAUAUUCAUAAUAUAACUUCAAUCCCUAAACUCCAAACCACAUACCUCAUAUUGACCUAUAUCACAUAAAAUAUUAAAUCUUAAUUUUUAAUCAAUCACAUAAUUUAAAAAGAAGAUACAGAUUAAAAGUUUUAAAUUAUGAUAUCAAAUUAUUUGAAGUUUAAAUAAUUUUACAAUAAUUAUAAACAAAAAAAGAAGAUAAUUUGUAUUGUUUUUUCUGAGCCAUUGAUUGAUUUUAAAAUCAAAGGUCCAAAAUCAAUCUGCUAUCUAUCUUCACCUUUGUUUUCUAUUGGUUUGGCGCGGAUCACCCUCUGCACCGUUAGUGAGAUUUGUUUCUUUUUUUUCCAAUUAUUUUCUGAGAACAGAUCGAGAGAGAGAGAGGCGAUUGGGUAAGCUGUACUCGACGCCCUAGCAAACCUCGGCCUCCUUCUCUUCUCUUCUCUUCCUCGUCGGCCUCGAGUUGAUCUGAAAUCUCUCCGCCGCACCAGCCAAAGGUGAUUUCCAUCGCAGCCGCCAGAAUGCUCAUCCCUUUCGCGAUGGGCGUCGUCACCUCCUUCCCUUUCCCGGAAGUUUCUUCACCGGAAUCGAAGCCAAUCGGAGUGGGCCUUCCAGAGGCUUCUCAAGGAGAUGUCCGGUUCCAAUCAAACCUCUUAGGAUGAAGAUGAUUUAGAAGAUGAAUCUGAGGAUGACGAAGGCCGCUCCUGUUGCUGCCAAGGCCUGAUCCAGCAGAGAAAGAGAAAGGUGUGAGAAUCUUUUCCUAUGACGUUUGGCAUAUGAUAUCGUGCUCUCAUAAUAGAUCUCCGAUGUCGAAAAGAUCAAUGCUGAGAUGAAACAGGGGGUGAAGUCACAGCUGCUAAAGGGUUUAACGCUGGUGGUAUGUACGAUGGGUUACGAGCUUCAGAGGAAAAGCCUGAUCUCGGUAUUGUAACAUGUGAUGUCGAUGCUGUACCUGCAGAUAACUGAACACAUCUUACAAGAAGCUGGACAAGGCACAAGUAGCAGAUGGUGGCGAGUUUGAAGGGUCGAUGGUGGAGGAGUUGUGGAAGAAGAAGAACAGUGAGGAGGCGGUUUGAAGGGAUGAUUAUGAAGGGUUAUUAGUGGUAAAUUGAUAGGUGUUAAUGGUUCGUGUAAACAAUGAAAUGUUUGAUAGGUGUUCAUAGUUUAUGUUUUUGUUGUGGUUUGUAUAAACAAGAUAAGUUUUAUGGGUUUUUAAAUAAUUUAAUA